AUGGGUAUAGCUCAGCGGUAGAGCGCAUGCUUAGCACACAUGAGGUCCUGGGUUCAAUUCUUAGUGUCUACA
rnacentral:tRNA from 1 species